rnacentral:rRNA from 1 species
GGGCCCGCACAAGCAGUGGAGCAUGUGGUUUAAUUCGAUGCAACGCGAAGAACCUUACCCAGGCUUGACAUAUAGAGGACCGCUCUAGAGAUAGAGUUUCCCGCAAGGGCCUCUAUACAGGUGCUGCAUGGCUGUCGUCAGCUCGUGCCGUGAGGUGUUGGGUUAAGUCCCGCAACGAGCGCAACCCUUGUCGUUAGUUACCAACACGUAAUGGUGGGGACUCUAACGAGACUGCCUAGGUUAACUAGGAGGAAGGUGAGGAUGACGUCAAGUCCGCAUGGCCUUUAUGUCUGGGGCUACACACGUGCUACAAUGGUCGGUACAGAAGGCAGCGAAGCCGAAAGGUGGAGCAAAUCCCUAAAACCGAUCUCAGUUCGGAUAGAAGUCUGCAACUCGACUUCUUGAAGCUGGAAUCGCUAGUAAUCGG